AUUGAACGCUGGCGGCAUGCUUUACACAUGCAAGUCGAACGGCAGCACGGGUGCUUGUACCUGGUGGCGAGUGGCGAACGGGUGAGUAAUGCAUCGGAACGUGCCCAUGAGUGGGGGAUAGCCCGGCGAAAGCCGGAUUAAUACCGCAUACGCCCUUAGGGGGAAAGCGGGGGAUCUUCGGACCUCGCGCUAUUGGAGCGGCCGAUGUCGGAUUAGCUAGUAGGUGAGGUAAAGGCUCAUCUAGGCGACGAUCCGUAGCUGGUCUGAGAGGAUGAUCAGCCACACUGGGACUGAGACACGGCCCAGACUCCUACGGGAGGCAGCAGUGGGGAAUUUUGGACAAUGGGCGCAAGCCUGAUCCAGCCAUGCCGCGUGAGUGAAGAAGGCCU
rnacentral:rRNA from 1 species